UCAAAAAGGUAACAAACCUGGGACACACC
rnacentral:piRNA from 1 species